rnacentral:sRNA from 1 species
GUAUAUAAAUUCACUUUGUUUUGCUCUACGCUUCAUUGUUUAUACAUAUGCCUUCUCUGUAUGCAACUAGCUGGAUUUUUCUGACCCAGAAGCAUAUUCCUGUGAAAUAGUACUGUUUGUUAACUUCUCUAUUUCUGAGCUAGCCAGCUUGAUGCCCGAAAAUCUGCAGUUGCUGGGUUUUUGCUGCUCCUGAAGAACUUUAAAGUUUUAGGCAGCCUGUCAUCCUCUCAGUGCAGUCAGUCUCUUAGUGUCAGUCAGGUUCAUGUGGAUGUUCACAGCCAUUACAAUUCUGUCGCCAAUGAAACUUUUUGCCUUGAGAUCAUGGAUAGUUUGAGGAGAUGCUUAAGCCAGCAAGCUGAUGUUCGACUCAUGCUUUAUGAGGGGUUUUAUGAUGUUCUUCGAAGGAACUCUCAGCUGGCUAAUUCAGUCAUGCAAACUCUGCUCUCACAGGUAAAAUACAUUUUUAUGGAUAUAUGGAAAACAGACAAUCAAGGAUUGAGAGACAAUUGAUGGUUUUUAGACCUUUCAAAAUAUAAAAUAAUUCCCAACUAGUACAUUGGUACUUGUGAACAUGCUAUGGGUAUGUGAUGCUGUUCUGGGUUGUCUUAUCUUGGUCACCACUUACCUGUCUGCCAUAAUACCAUCAUCUAGCAGUUAUCCUUGUGAAUUAACAGUCUGUAUCCUAAGUCAGAAGGACAUUUUGAAGAACCAUUUAUAUAAGGACCAUUGCAGCUGUAUCCAUUAUGUUAUAUUUCUGAAA